rfam:Stegodyphus mimosarum contig46575, whole genome shotgun sequence.
GCCUUCGUGGUGUAGUGGUCAGCACACUCGGCUCGUAUUCGAGAGGUCCGUCGUUCGAGUCCCGGCGAGAGCA